rnacentral:rRNA from 1 species
CUUCCAUCUGGAAGGAAUCUGGAGACAGGUGCUGCAUGGCUGUCGUCAGCUCGUGUCGUGAGAUGUUGGGUUAAGUCCCGCAACGAGCGCAACCCUUGCCUUUAGUUGCCAGCAGUUCGGCUGGGCACUCUAAAGGGACUGCCGGUGUUAAACCGGAGGAAGGUGGGGAUGACGUCAAGUCCUCAUGGCCUUUAUGACCAGGGCUACACACGUACUACAAUGGCCGAUACAAAGGGCAGCGACACUGCGAGGUGAAGCCAAUCCCGUAAAAUCGGUCUCAGUCCGGAUUGGAGUCUGCAACUCGACUCCAUGAAGUUGGAAUCGCUAGUAAUCGUGGAUCAGCAUGCCACGGUGAAUACGUUCCCGGGCCUU